rnacentral:rRNA from 1 species
GACGAACGCUGGCGGCGUGCUUAACACAUGCAAGUCGAACGGAAAGGCCCUGCUUUUGUGGGGUGCUCGAGUGGCGAACGGGUGAGUAACACGUGAGUAACCUGCCCUUGACUUUGGGAUAACUUCAGGAAACUGGGGCUAAUACCGGAUAGGAGCUCCUGCUGCAUGGUGGGGGUUGGAAAGUUUCGGCGGUUGGGGAUGGACUCGCGGCUUAUCAGCUUGUUGGUGGGGUAGUGGCUUACCAAGGCUUUGACGGGUAGCCGGCCUGAGAGGGUGACCGGCAACAUGGGGAAUGAGAUACGGCCCAGACUCCUACGGGAGGCAGCAGUGGGAAAUAUUGCACAAUGGGCGGGAGCCUGAUGCAGCAACGCCGCGUGCGGGAUGACGGCCUUCGGGUUGUAAACCGCUUUCGGCUGUGAAGAAGCGGGAGUGACGGUAAUGGGUAAAGAAGCACCGGAUAACUACGUG